GUAAUGCCGGAUGCUCCAUCACACCGCAUGGUGUGUUGGGAAAGCCUUUGCGGCAUGGGAUGGGGUCGCGUCCUAUCAGCUUGAUGGCGGGGUAACGGCCCACCAUGGCUUCGACGGGUAGCCGGCCUGAGAGGGCGACCGGCCACAUUGGGACUGAGAUACGGCCCAGACUCCUACGGGAGGCAGCAGUGGGGAAUAUUGCACAAUGGGCGCAAGCCUGAUGCAGCGACGCCGCGUGAGGGAUGGAGGCCUUCGGGUUGUAAACCUCUUUUGUUAGGGAGCAAGGCAUUUUGUGUUGAGUGUACCUUUCGAAUAAGCACCGGCUAACUACGUGCCAGCAGCCGCGGUAAUACGUAGGGUGCAAGCGUUAUCCGGAAUUAUUGGGCGUAAAGGGCUCGUAGGCGGUUCGUCGCGUCCGGUGUGAAAGUCCAUCGCUUAACGGUGGAUCCGCGCCGGGUACGGGCGGGCUUGAGUGCGGUAGGGGAGACUGGAAUUCCCGGUGUAACGGUGGAAUGUGUAGAUAUCGGGAAG
rnacentral:rRNA from 1 species